UGUUUGUGUGGUACUGGAUAUUGAUUCUGAUGAAGAUUAACUUGCAAAAUCUUGGUAUAAAAACUGUAUGAGUAACAAAGUUUAGUGCUGCUGAACAUUUGGUUUGUGGUUUGCUUAUGAAGAUGUUAAAAGUUGGACAUCCAGUUGCUAAGGUUAAGAAAACAACUAGCAAGAGUAGCUCCACCAAGUUCAACUUUUUUAAGAUAGCUUGCUCAAAAAGAUAUAAGAUAAAGUCUAAGCCGUACCUGAUCCUGGAUUUUGUAAAUGGAUGGCAUCUCUUCUUUCAUCUACACCGGCAAGGAAUUUUAAGUUAUAUCAAUAUUUUUGACCAUUUGCAGCACUAGCUAUGAGCAUAUCUGGCUUUUGGGAUGUCUUCUGUAGUAAGGAUCAGGCAAGGGUUUAUACUUCCUUCACGGAGAUGGGAAUCGUGCACCGGAAUCUUAAACCUCAAAAUAUACUUAUGGACAGUGACGGGCAUGUAAGGUAAUGCUAACUGACUUUGGAAUGGCAAAAGAAAUUGACGAAUCAAGCCGAUCAAAUUUAAUGUGUGGAACAACAGAACACAUGGUUCCAGAAUCUUGCAGUCUAAGGGGCACAAGAAAGAUGCGGAUUGGUGGAGCGUCAGGGUACUCUUGUAUGAAAUUUUAAUUGGACAGGUAUAGCUACUUAUUAAUAUUCAUCCCUGUAUAUGUUGUCUGAGAUAAUAGAUUGGUAAAUUAUGGACUUCCAGCAGUCAAGUCUUUCACAUGCAGUUUCCUGAGAUAGUUUUUAGUAUAUAUUUAUUUAGACUAAGGAUAUAUACCCAUGGAAUACAAACCAUGCAGUGGUUGCUUG